UAGUAACUGCGAGUGAAGCGGGAAAAGCUCAAAUUUGAAAUCUGACGGCCUCGCUGUCCGAGUUGUAGUCUGGAGAAGCGUCUUCUGUGCUGGGCCGUGUACAAGUCUCUUGGAACAGAGCGUCGUAGAGGGUGAGAAUCCCGUCUUUGACACGGACUGCCGGUGCUCUGUGAUGCGCUCUCAAAGAGUCGAGUUGUUUGGGAAUGCAGCUCAAAAUGGGUGGUAAAUUCCAUCUAAAGCUAAAUAUUGGCGAGAGACCGAUAGCGAACAAGUACCGUGAGGGAAAGAUGAAAAGCACUUUGGAAAGAGAGUUAAACAGUACGUGAAAUUGCUGAAAGGGAAACGCUUGAAGUCAGUCGCGUCGGUCAGAACUCAGCCUGGCUUUUAGCCUGGUGCAUUUUCUGGUCGACGGGUCAGCAUCAAUUUUGACCGCUGGAGAAAGGCCAGAGGAAUGUGGCACCUUCGGGUGUGUUAUAGCUUGUGGUCACAUGCAGUGGUUGGGAUUGAGGAUCUCAGUGCGCCUUUAUGGUCGGGGUUCGCCCACGUUCGCACUUAGGAUGCUGGCGUAAUGGCUUUAAACGACCCGUCUUGAAACACGGACCAAGGAGUCUAACAUGCCUGCAAGUGUUUGGGUGGAAAACCCGAGCGCGCAAUGAAAGUGAAAGUUGGGAUCCCUGUCGUGGGGAGCACCGACGCCCGGACCUGACCUGCUGUGACGGAUCCGCGGUAGAGCAUGUAUGUUGGGACCCGAAAGAUGGUGAACUAUGCCUGAAUAGGGUGAAGCCAGAGGAAACUCUGGUGGAGGCUCGUAGCGAUUCUGACGUGCAAAUCGAUCGUCAAAUUUGGGUAUAGGGGCGAAAGACUAAUCGAACCAUCUAGUAGCUGGUUCCUGCCGAAGUUUCCCUCAGGAUAGCAGAAACUCAUGUCAGAUUUAUGUGGUAAAGCGAAUGAUUAGAGGCCUUGGGGUUGAAACAACCUUAACC
rnacentral:rRNA from 1 species